CCUGUGUGGUGAUGGAGCUGGGAAUACUCUGGGGAGAGAGUCCUCUUUCAGCUGUAUUUUGCUUCCUUCCCACACAGAC
ensembl:miRNA